UAAUAGCGUUCACUAUUCCCCGAAUCCCACCACCAACGCGCGUCCCUGAACGGCAAAAGGCGCGCGGUGCUGGGCGAGGCUCUGGAACGGAAUCGAAUCCUCCUUGAAGGCGACGAUUUCCCGCCGUUCCAAGUUUCGCAGCCUUUUACGAUCAACGUGCAAAUCGCCGACGACUGCGCCUUCACCUCCCUGUGGCUAACGGAGAUGGACGCCAACAUCCCUAUGCCUUUGCCCACCAAGCAUCACUGGUGCACGCAGGACUACCACCUAGCUCCC